AGGAUGAACGCUGGCGGCGUGCUUAACACAUGCAAGUCGAACGAUGACUUUUGUGCUUGCACAAGAUGAUUAGUGGCGAACGGGUGAGUAACACGUGAGUAACCUGCCCUUGACUCUGGGAUAAGCCUGGGAAACUGGGUCUAAUACUGGAUAUGCACCGUGGACCGCAUGGUUCUUGGUGGAAAGAUUUAUUGGUCAGGGAUGGACUCGCGGCCUAUCAGCUUGUUGGUGAGGUAAUGGCUCACCAAGGCGACGACGGGUAGCCGGCCUGAGAGGGUGACCGGCCACACUGGGACUGAGACACGGCCCAGACUCCUACGGGAGGCAGCAGUGGGGAAUAUUGCACAAUGGGCGAAAGCCUGAUGCAGCGACGCCGCGUGAGGGAUGACGGCCUUCGGGUUGUAACCUCUUUCAGUAGGAAGAAGCGAAAGUGACGGUACCUGCAGAAGAAGCGCCGGCUAACUACGUGCCAGCAGCCGCGGUAAC
rnacentral:rRNA from 1 species